rnacentral:rRNA from 1 species
CCUACGGGAGGCAGCAGUGGGGAAUAUUGCGCAAUGGGCGAAAGCCUGACGCAGCGACGCCGCGUGAGGGAUGAAGGUCUUCGGAUCGUAAACCUCUGUCAGCAGGGAAGAACGGUCACUGUGCUAAUCAGCAGUGCAUUGACGGUACCUGCAAAGGAAGCACCGGCUAACUCAGUGCCAGCAGCCGCGGUAAUACGGCGGGGGCGAGCGUUAAUCGGAAUUACUGGGCGUAAAGCGAGCGUAGGCGGUAGGUCAAGUCAAGGGUGAAAUCCCCGCGCUCAACGUGGGAACUGCCGUUGAAACUGGCAAACUGGAGUGUGUGAGAGGAUAGUGGAAUUCCAGGUGUAGGAGUGAAAUCCGUAGAUAUCUGGAGGAACAUCAGUGGCGAAGGCGACUAUCUGGAACAUAACUGACGCUGAGGAGCGAAAGCGUGGGUAGCAAACAGGAUUAGAUACCCGGGUAGUC